rnacentral:pre_miRNA from 1 species
UGGACAGACUAUUAUAUUCGAUUGUAUUCACGGUGUGAAACAGGGGAUUACAUUGUUUUUAAACAGAAAGUGAAUCAAUUAACAUAACAGACUCCU